GCUCGGAUGAUCCUCAGUGGUCUGGGGUGCAGGCUUCAAACCUGUAGCUGUCUAGUGACAGAGUGGUUCAAUUCCACCUUUGUAGG
rnacentral:tRNA from 10 species